rnacentral:lncRNA from 1 species
UUUUCCCGUCUCCACACUCGUCUGCUGUUAAUCACUGGUCUGCCUGAGUACGCGGACGGCCGCUACACCGAGGAGGACGUGGCCCAACUGCUCUGCCCGUUCGGGUUCAAACUCUCCAGCCGAGGCCUCUACGUCCUUCCUCAGGCGUGUCUGGUAGGAGCCAGCCUCUCUUGAAGCUUUAAGGAGUUUGAAGCCGUCUGACCCUUUGUGGCCAUCCGUGGUCGUUUCCUUCCUCGCAGGCUUUCGCGGUCAUGCCGUGUACCGACAGCGUCAGGAGCAUCAUCACGUUUUCUAACAAGGAGGACUUGAUGCUCAAAGGUUCCCGCCUUGGUUUGCACGCGGUGAUCAGCAGAAUUUCAACCACACCUUUUGGGUUUUAUAAAUCCCUCAUGAAAAAGGUUCAUGUGGUGAGUACAUCAUCUUAGUCCUAAUUUUCUCUGAACGAAGCAGGAUUCUUCCAGCGUUUCACUCGUCUGCACAUUAUUGGUGUUUAUCUCUUCAAAAUAAUAAUAAAUCAGCCUAACAGAAUAAAUCUCUUUCUAUAAAUCCCAGUUUUCCAUUUGAUCUACAGGUGGAUAAAUUCUCUCCCUUUGUUUCCUGGGCAGAGAGUGAAAGACGACGGUUCGAGGACCGUUUUCGUCCAGAACAUCUCACCCGGCGAGGCCAGAGAGCUCAGGGAAACGCUGACGGCCAUCGGUUCCCUGAAGAACUUCCUGCCUCUGCUCAACAAGGUGUUGGUGGAGUUUGAAUCCAUGAGUGGCGCCGAUCGUCUGGGCGUCUGGUUCAGCCUCCUGAAUCCGUCUCCAGUUUACAGCAUCUACAGGAUGAAGAUCCCACAGAGCAGCAGGACGCCGGCCCCACCAGAACGGGCGGUGAACGCUUUGGCGGGACCAGUGGUCCCAGACGCAAGCGGAGACGUCCCACAUGGCAGUACGCCACCCUUUUGGGUCACCAUGACGACUAACCCCUUUAUUUUCCCAACCAACUGGCCUUGGUUCAUUAUUCCAGAUUACCUGACGGUGGAAGGGAUGAGGGACGUUGAGAACGCUCCGUCUCCCCGUUUCCCCUCCUCCACCGUCCUGAUGACGGGUUUGCCUCGAGGGAACUUCACGCACCAGGACGUCGCCAAGCUGGUUUGGCCCCAUCUCCCCCAACGGACCCUUCGCUCUUUACUCUACGACGUGACGGUCCUCCCCCUGCAGAGACGGGCUUUCGUGCAUUUCAACGACUGGGACUCGUGCUGCCGGUUUCUUCGGAGCCACACCUCGGAGCGGGUUUCCGUCAGAGGCUGCGUCCUCAGCGUUCACUUGGUCUUGGAGGACAUGCAGCCUGCAUAUAGUGAGGAGGUCAUGUACCAAACUCUAAUGAAGUGGAGCAGCUCCCCCGUUCCAGAGCUGGAGUCUCUGGAGGAGCGGCUGCUCUGCGUGGAGAUCUCGGAGGCGUCGGUGGGCAUCGUCAUGAUGGUCAUGGAGGCCGUGGCAGCAGUGGCGCCCUUUGAAGGUUUCCUGCCUCUGGCCAACAGGAUCUGCAUCGAAUUAUCUGAACCCACAGAUGUAACCAGAGUGGUGCAGAAAAUCUCAGCAAACAUUUCAUCCAGGACUCAUAUUUGGAACAAAGUAAAGAGCGUCUCCUGCUUGAACAUCUUUAAAGAGCGUUUGCAGAGUUUAUGGAGCGAGCCCAUUGAUAUGGAGCUGAACGCCAGCAGAACUGCAGAUCCAAAUGACUCUGCACCAGAAAAAGACAGCAGAGCUGUGCAGAUGGAGGAGCGAGCGGCAGGAAGCUCGGCUGAAGCUGAGGAUGAAGUCGGAAGAGUGGAGAUGAAGAAGACCGAAGAAGGUGAGGGGUUCUGAUGAAUGUGAAUCCUUAACUAAUUGAAUGGGAACGUGCUGUGGAUAAAAAAAA